UGGGGAAUCUUGCACAAUGGGGGAAACCCUGAUGCAGCGACGCCGCGUGAGCGAUGAAGGUCUUCGAAUCGUAAAGCUCUGUCCUAUGGGAAGAUAAUGACGGUACCAUGGGAGGAAGCCCCGGCUAACUACGUGCCAGCAGCCGCGGUAAUACGUAGGGGGCGAGCGUUGUCCGGAAUUACUGGGCGUAAAGGGUUCGCAGGCGGCAUGGCAAGUCCGAUGUAAAAGGCGAAGGCUCAACCUUCGUAAGCAUCGGAAACUGUCAAGCUUGAGUGAAGGAGAGGCAAGUGGAAUUCCUAGUGUAGCGGUGGAAUGCGUAGAUAUUAGGAGGAAUACCGGUGGCGAAGGCGACUUGCUGGACUUCAACUGACGCUGAGGAACGAAAGCGUGGGUAGCAAACAGG
rnacentral:rRNA from 1 species